UUAUCAAAAACAUCGCCUCUUGCUAAAAAAGAAGUAUUAGAGGUCCCGCCUGCCCUGUGACCACAGUGUUUAACGGCCGCGGUAUCCUGACCGUGCGAAGGUAGCGUAAUCACUUGUCUUUUAAAUGAAGACCUGUAUGAAUGGCAUCACGAAGGUUCAACUGUCUCCUUCCCCCAGUCAAUGAAAUUGAUCUGCCCGUGCAGAAGCGGACAUAAAAACAUAAGACGAGAAGACCCUGUGGAGCUUUAGGCCAAGGAUCAAACAUGUAAAACAGACUCAAACCCUGAAAAGAAUAAUAAAAGUCCAAAAACCAAGAGUAACCUGAUCCUAAUGCCUUCGGUUGGGGCGACCGCGGGGGAAAAUAAAGCCCCCACAUGGAAUGGAACUACUUCCUAAACCAAGAGUUACAACUCUAAGUAACAGAAUUUCUGACCACCUAUGACCCAGGACAAACAUAAACCUGAUCAAUGAACCAAGUUACCCCAGGGAUAACAGCGCAAUCCUUUCCCAGAGUCCAUAUCGACGAAAGGGUUUACGACCUCGAUGUUGGAUCAGGACAUCCUAAUGGUGCAGCCGCUAUUAAGGGUUCGUUUGUUCAACGAUUAAUAGUCCUACGUGAUCUGAGUUCA
rnacentral:rRNA from 1 species